rnacentral:rRNA from 1 species
ACCGGCGGCUCGAGUGGUGGCCACUAUUACUGGGCUUAAAGCGUUCGUAGCUGGCUUGUUAAGUCUCUGGGGAAAUCUUCCGGCUCAACCGGAAGGCGUCUCAGGGAUACUGGAAGGCUAGGGCGUGGGAGAGGUGAGUGGUACCUCAGGGGUAGGGGUGAAAUGCGUUGAUCGUUGGAGGAACAACAGUGGCGAAGGCGACUUACCGGGACGGAACCGACAGUGAGGAACGAAAGCGGGGGGAGCAAACAG